UGAUUGUUUGACCGGAAAACCCAGUCAUAAAACCCCGUCCUCCCUCCCACCUUGUCACUCUCUCUCUCUCUCUCUGAGACCCUUAGCUCGGAGCUCAGGCCACCACCACAACCCUCUUCUACUCGUCUCUCAGAAACCCUAGAAUCAUGUACGGCGGCGAUGAGGUAUCGGCCAUCGUAAUCGACCUCGGCUCCCACACUUGCAAGGCCGGCUAUGCCGGCGAAGAUGCGCCCAAGGCUGUUUUUCCAUCGGUUGUUGGCUCAAUUGAUCAAAUGGAAGUUGAUGAAACUGAAAACUCUGGAUCUGCUGAUCCAAAAAGUGAUUCUGACAAAACCAAGGGAAAACGGAAAUUAUAUGUAGGCUCUCAAGCUUUAGGAUAUCGUCGGGAUCAUAUGGAGGUGCUGCCCCCCAUAAAGGAUGGAGUUGUUGUUGACUGGGAUGCUGUGGAGGGUAUAUGGGACCAUGCUUUUAGGGACUGCCUAUUGGUUGAUCCCAAAGAGCAUCCAAUGCUACUUGCAGAGCCAUCUUUUAACUCCCAGCAACAGAGAGAAAGAACGGCAGAGCUCAUGUUUGAAAAAUACAAAGUUCCUGCUUUAUUCAUGGCUAAGAAUGCUGUUCUCACAUCUUUUGCAUCUGGCCGUGCUACCUCGUUGGUAGUUGACAGUGGUGGAGGAUCAACUACAGUUGCUCCAGUUCAUGAUGGUUAUGUUCUCCAAAAGGCUGUGUCAUCCUCUCCUAUUGGAGGAGAAUUUCUUACUGAUUGUUUGACGAAAAGUUUGGAAAGUAAAGGAAUGACAAUCAAACCCAGAUAUUCAUUCAAGAGAAAGGAAACACGACCUGGAGAGUUUCAGGUUGUAGAUGUUGAUUUUCCAAACACCACAGAGAGCUACAAGCUCUAUUCCAAGAGGAUAAUUGCUAGUGAUAUCAAGGAAUGUGUGUGCAGAGCGCCUGACACUCCAUAUGAUGAAAGCUCAUAUUCAAAUAUUCCAAUGACCCCGUAUGAGCUUCCUGAUGGCCAGACAAUUGAAAUUGGAUCUGAUAGAUUCAAGAUCCCUGAUGUACUGUUUAACCCAUCCUUAGCUCAGACGAUUCCUGGUAUGGAGAAUUUUGCAGAGAUUGCUCCUUCUCUUCGUGGUUUACCUCAAAUGGUUAUAGACAGCAUUAACAAGUGUGACGUGGACAUCCGUCGUGAAUUAUUUAGUAGUAUACUGCUUGCUGGUGGCACAGCAUCAAUGCAACAGUUAAAGGAACGCCUUGAGAAAGACUUGCUGGAGGAGUCUCCCCAAGCUGCUCGAGUUAAAGUAUUGGCAAGUGGAAAUGCAACAGAAAGGCGAUUCAGUGUUUGGAUAGGUGGCAGUAUAUUGGCUUCUCUUGGUUCAUUCCAGCAAAUGUGGUUCUCCAAGGCUGAGUACGAGGAGCAUGGGGCUUCUUACGUACAAAGAAAGUGCCCUUGAUUUGUUGUCCUGGGAACAACUGCAAAUAGAAAAGGUCUUGGUUGUGCUCCAUCAAAUGGACAUUUUCCAAAAUUGUCAAAGCUUUGAGCCUGUAUCCAGUUAGAGACGAGGUUUUAGUGUCUGGAUACGUUGUUGAUUAUUUUCAUGUUUAGAAUCCCUUAACUCUCCAGUUCUUCUCUAUCUUGAGUUUGAAUGUUAGCGGUUGUUUAAAAUGAUAAUGUGUAAUGACUGGUAGAGCUUAUAUUUAGUAUGUCAGGAAAAAAAAAAAACAGUAUUUUCAAUUUAAAAGGUUUAGGUCAAAUAAGGAAAAUGAUUUAUAUUUCA